rnacentral:sRNA from 12 species
GGCCCCGGCUCGAACCGGCACCGUAUGGUGCGUUUUCCGAAAGGAUAGAGUCGGGGCAUUCU